rnacentral:piRNA from 1 species
CACUGGGUCUGCAGUUGAACAUACAUGG